UUAAGCGACUAAGCGUACACGGUGGAUGCCCUGGCAGUCAGAGGCGAUGAAGGACGUGCUAAUCUGCGAUAAGCGUCGGUAAGGUGAUAUGAACCGUUAUAACCGGCGAUUUCCGAAUGGGGAAACCCAGUGUGAUUCGUCACACUAUCAUUAACUGAAUCCAUAGGUUAAUGAGGCGAACCGGGGGAACUGAAACAUCUAAGUACCCCGAGGAAAAGAAAUCAACCGAGAUUCCCCCAGUAGCGGCGAGCGAACGGGGAGCAGCCCAGAGCCUGAAUCAGUGUGUGUGUUAGUGGAAGCGUCUGGAAAGGCGUGCGAUACAGGGUGACAGCCCCGUACACAAAAAUGCACAUACUGUGAGCUCGAUGAGUAGGGCGGGACACGUGGUAUCCUGUCUGAAUAGUGGGGGGACCAUCCUCCAAGGCUAAAUACUCCUGACUGACCGAUAGUGAACCAGUACCGUGAGGGAAAGGCGAAAAGAACCCCGGCGAGGGGAGUGAAAAAGAACCUGAAACCGUGUACGUACAAGCAGUGGGAGCACGCUUAGGCGUGUGACUGCGUACCUUUUGUAUAAUGGGUCAGCGACUUAUAUUCUGUAGCAAGGUUAACCGAAUAGGGGAGCCGAAGGGAAACCGAGUCUUAACUGGGCGUUAAGUUGCAGGGUAUAGACCCGAAACCCGGUGAUCUAGCCAUGGGCAGGUUGAAGGUUGGGUAACACUAACUGGAGGACCGAACCGACUAAUGUUGAAAAAUUAGCGGAUGACUUGUGGCUGGGGGUGAAAGGCCAAUCAAACCGGGAGAUAGCUGGUUCUCCCCGAAAGCUAUUUAGGUAGCGCCUCGUGAAUUCAUCUCCGGGGGUAGAGCACUGUUUCGGCAAGGGGGUCAUCCCGACUUACCAACCCGAUGCAAACUGCGAAUACCGGAGAAUGUUAUCACGGGAGACACACGGCGGGUGCUAACGUCCGUCGUGAAGAGGGAAACAACCCAGACCGCCAGCUAAGGUCCCAAAGUCAUGGUUAAGUGGGAAACGAUGUGGGAAGGCCCAGACAGCCAGGAUGUUGGCUUAGAAGCAGCCAUCAUUUAAAGAAAGCGUAAUAGCUCACUGGUCGAGUCGGCCUGCGCGGAAGAUGUAACGGGGCUAAACCAUGCACCGAAGCUGCGGCAGCGACGCUUAUGCGUUGUUGGGUAGGGGAGCGUUCUGUAAGCCUGUGAAGGUGUGCUGUGGGGUAUGCUGGAGGUAUCAGAAGUGCGAAUGCUGACAUAAGUAACGAUAAAGCGGGUGAAAAGCCCGCUCGCCGGAAGACCAAGGGUUCCUGUCCAACGUUAAUCGGGGCAGGGUGAGUCGACCCCUAAGGCGAGGCCGAAAGGCGUAGUCGAUGGGAAACAGGUUAAUAUUCCUGUACUUGGUGUUACUGCGAAGGGGGACGGAGAAGGCUAUGUUGGCCGGGCGACGGUUGUCCCGGUUUAAGCGUGUAGGCUGGUUUUCCAGGCAAAUCCGGAAAAUCAAGGCCGAGGCGUGAUGACGAGGCACUACGGUGCUGAAGCAACAAAUGCCCUGCUUCCAGGAAAAGCCUCUAAGCAUCAGGUAACAUCAAAUCGUACCCCAAACCGACACAGGUGGUCAGGUAGAGAAUACCAAGGCGCUUGAGAGAACUCGGGUGAAGGAACUAGGCAAAAUGGUGCCGUAACUUCGGGAGAAGGCACGCUGAUACGUAGGUGAAGCGACUUGCUCGUGGAGCUGAAAUCAGUCGAAGAUACCAGCUGGCUGCAACUGUUUAUUAAAAACACAGCACUGUGCAAACACGAAAGUGGACGUAUACGGUGUGACGCCUGCCCGGUGCCGGAAGGUUAAUUGAUGGGGUUAGCGCAAGCGAAGCUCUUGAUCGAAGCCCCGGUAAACGGCGGCCGUAACUAUAACGGUCCUAAGGUAGCGAAAUUCCUUGUCGGGUAAGUUCCGACCUGCACGAAUGGCGUAAUGAUGGCCAGGCUGUCUCCACCCGAGACUCAGUGAAAUUGAACUCGCUGUGAAGAUGCAGUGUACCCGCGGCAAGACGGAAAGACCCCGUGAACCUUUACUAUAGCUUGACACUGAACAUUGAGCCUUGAUGUGUAGGAUAGGUGGGAGGCUUUGAAGUGUGGACGCCAGUCUGCAUGGAGCCGACCUUGAAAUACCACCCUUUAAUGUUUGAUGUUCUAACGUGGACCCGUGAUCCGGGUUGCGGACAGUGUCUGGUGGGUAGUUUGACUGGGGCGGUCUCCUCCCAAAGAGUAACGGAGGAGCACGAAGGUUGGCUAAUCCUGGUCGGACAUCAGGAGGUUAGUGCAAUGGCAUAAGCCAGCUUGACUGCGAGCGUGACGGCGCGAGCAGGUGCGAAAGCAGGUCAUAGUGAUCCGGUGGUUCUGAAUGGAAGGGCCAUCGCUCAACGGAUAAAAGGUACUCCGGGGAUAACAGGCUGAUACCGCCCAAGAGUUCAUAUCGACGGCGGUGUUUGGCACCUCGAUGUCGGCUCAUCACAUCCUGGGGCUGAAGUAGGUCCCAAGGGUAUGGCUGUUCGCCAUUUAAAGUGGUACGCGAGCUGGGUUUAGAACGUCGUGAGACAGUUCGGUCCCUAUCUGCCGUGGGCGCUGGAGAACUGAGGGGGGCUGCUCCUAGUACGAGAGGACCGGAGUGGACGCAUCACUGGUGUUCGGGUUGUCAUGCCAAUGGCACUGCCCGGUAGCUAAAUGCGGAAGAGAUAAGUGCUGAAAGCAUCUAAGCACGAAACUUGCCCCGAGAUGAGUUCUCCCUGACCCUUUAAGGGUCCUGAAGGAACGUUGAAGACGACGACGUUGAUAGGCCGGGUGUGUAAGCGCAGCGAUGCGUUGAGCUAACCGGUACUAAUGAACCGUGAGGCUUAACCUU
rnacentral:rRNA from 1 species